rnacentral:rRNA from 1 species
AUGUUGGAAGAUAGAGGAAAGUUGAAGCCCUUUAAAUCUUGCAUUGCACGUGCUAGGCGUGUCACCACAUUUAUUUACAGGCAUGGGAAUAUUCUUGCUACAAUGAAGGAUGUUGCAAAGGAGGAUCUUGUGAGAGCUAGAACCACUCGCUUUGCCAUAGCUUUCCUUACUUUGAAGAGCUUGCAUAAACACAAGGCUGCCUUGAGAACUCUAUUUGUUAGUACAGAUUGGUUGGUGAAAUCAAAGAAGUUGGCUACCUCAAAGACUGGGAUGGAUGUGCAUGAUACCGUGCUUUCCACAGAGUUUUGGAAUACAGUACUAGAUUGCCUUACAGCUUCAGCACCACUUUUCAUGGUACUAAGGGUGGUUGAUGGUGAUGUAAAGCCUGCCAUGCCGGAGGUUUCUGCACUAAUGGAUUUUGCAAAAGAGAAGAUCAAGGAAGGUUUUUGUACUAACAACAAGCAAAGUUUGCUAAAAAAAGAUAUUGACAUUGUUGAGAAGCGUUGGGUGAAUCAAAUGGACCAUCCAUUGUAUGGGGCUGCCCUCUUUCUUAACCAAGGGAAGUUUUAUCCCAGUAUGAAGAGAGGAGAUGAUGAAUUAGUUGGGGAGCUAAGGGGCUGUUUUAAUGAUGUGCAUGGAAAAAUGAUUGAAGAUGAAGAUAUUUGA